GUAUUUAAGUUUAUGGCCUUGCGGCUCAAUCACGUUCAUAGAUCAAAAAUUGUGUUUGUGAAAGAGAGGGAGUGCAUCCGUUUGACCGGACACAUUACCCCUCCAAGGGUGCACAGGUGUAUGGAUAAAGAAAAAUGCAGAGGCGAGCACAUGCGGAUAAACCACCAGCAUCAACGCACUGACAGAAUUCGUUAAUGAUCCUUCCGCAGGUUCACCUACGGAAA
rnacentral:misc_RNA from 1 species